GACGAACGCUGGCGGCGCGCUUAACACAUGCAAGUCGAACGGAAAGGCCUGCUUUCCCUUGUGGAUUGCGGGUACUCGAGUGGCGAACGGGUGAGUAACACGUGAGUGAUCUGCCCCCAACUUGGGUAUAAGCCUGGGAAACUGGGUCUAAUUCCCGAUAGGACUGCAGGGUGGUGCCUGUGGUGGAAAACGAUUUUCUCGUGGUUGGGGAUGAGCUCUCGGCCUAUCAGCUUGUUGGUGGGGUAAUGGCCUACCAAGGCGGCGACGGGUAGCCGGCCUGGGAGGGUGGACGGCCACAUUGGGACUGAGAUACGGCCCAGACUCCUACGGGAGGAAGCAGUGGGGAAUAUUGCACAAUGGGCGGAAGCCUGAUGCAGCGACGCCGCGUGGGGGAUGACGGCCUUCGGGUUGUAAACUCCUUUCGACCGCGAGGAAGCCGCCUGGUUGGAAGGGUGGUGACGGUAGUGGUAGAAGAAGCACCGGCUAACUACGUG
rnacentral:rRNA from 1 species